rnacentral:rRNA from 1 species
AGCGGGGCCCAUCCCGUAAGGCUAAAUACUCCCGAGAGACCGAUAGCGAACCAGUACUGUGAAGGAAAGGUGAAAAGAACCUCGAACAGAGGAGUGAAACAGACCCUGAAACCAUGCGCCUACAAGCGGUCGGAGCAUGUUAAAAUGUGACGGCGUGCCUUUUGCAUAAUGAACCUACGAGUUACUCUCGCUGGCAAGGUUAAGCGAUUCAGUCGCGCAGCCGAAGCGAAAGCAAGUCCGAACAAGGCGUACAGUCAGCGGGAGUAGACGCGAAACCAAGUGAUCUACCCUUGGUCAGGUUGAAGGUUGGGUAACACCAACUGGAGGACCGCACCGAUAAGCGUUGAAAAGCUUACGGAUGAACUGAGGGUAGGAGUGAAAGGCCAAUCAAACUUGGAGAUAGCUCGUACUCCCCGAAAUGCAUUUAGGUGCAGCCUCGAAGUAAAGUGAUAGAGGUAGAGCGACUGAUAAGAUGCGAGGGCUUCACCGCCUAUCAAGUCUUGACAAACUCCGAAUACUAUCACUUGAUCUUUGGGAGUGAGGGCAUGGGUGCUAAGGUCCAUGUCCGAAAGAGGAACAACUCAGACCACCAGCUAAGGUCCCGAAAUAAGGGCUAAGUUGAAUAAACGAAGUAAAACUGCAAAGACAGCUAGGAUGUUGGCUUGGAAGCAGCCAUUCAUUUAAAGAGUGCGUAACAGCUCACUAGUCGAGGAGUUUUGCAUGGAUAAUAAUCGGGCAUAAGCCCUUUACCGAAGCUGUGGAUGUCGUAAGACAUGGUAGGGGAGCAUUCCGGCGGCGACGAAGGCCGUCCUCGAGGACGACUGGAGCUUUCGGAAAAGCAAAUGUAGGUAUAAGUAACGAUAAAGGGGGCGUGAAACCCCCUCGCCAUAAGACUAAGGAUUCCUGAUCAACGCUAAUCGGAUCAGGGUAAGUCGGGCCCUAAGGCGCAGCCGAACGGCGUAGCCGAUGGAAGAAACGGUAAAGAUUCCGUUACUGGAUAUAGGAGCGAUGUGGAGACGGAGAAGUGACACACCCGCCUGCCGACGGAAGCGCAGGUUAAAGGAAGUAGGUAAACGCCGGGUAGGCAAAUCCGCCUGGCGUGCCGAAACUGACAGUAUCGAGAGCCCCCGGGCAAUCGAAUAGCGGUGGUAAUCAGGCUCCCAAGAAAAUCCGCUAAGCAUAUUCUAUAUCCACCCGUACCCCAAACGGACACACGUAGUCGGGUAGAAUAUACCAAGGCGCUCGAAAGACUCACGGUUAAGGAACUAGGCAAAUUGACCCUGUAACCUCGGGAAAAAGGGUCCCCAGUAAGAUGGGGCGCAGAGAAUAGGUCCAGGCAACUGUUUAACAAAAACACAGGGCUGUGCGAAAUUUCAAGAUGAAGUAUACAGCCUGACACCUGCCCGGUGCCGGAAGGUUAAGAGGAGAGCUAAUCGCAAGAGAAGGCUUGAAUUGAAGCCCCGGUAAACGGCGGCCGUAACUAUAACGGUCCUAAGGUAGCGAAAUUCCUUGUCGGGUAAGUUC